rnacentral:rRNA from 9 species
AGAGUUUGAUCAUGGCUCAGAUUGAACGCUGGCGGCAGGCCUAACACAUGCAAGUCGAACGGUAACAGGAAGAAGCUUGCUUCUUUGCUGACGAGUGGCGGACGGGUGAGUAAUGUCUGGGAAACUGCCUGAUGGAGGGGGAUAACUACUGGAAACGGUAGCUAAUACCGCAUAACGUCGCAAGACCAAAGAGGGGGACCUUCGGGCCUCUUGCCAUCGGAUGUGCCCAGAUGGGAUUAGCUUGUUGGUGGGGUAACGGCUCACCAAGGCGACGAUCCCUAGCUGGUCUGAGAGGAUGACCAGCCACACUGGAACUGAGACACGGUCCAGACUCCUACGGGAGGCAGCAGUGGGGAAUAUUGCACAAUGGGCGCAAGCCUGAUGCAGCCAUGCCGCGUGUAUGAAGAAGGCCUUCGGGUUGUAAAGUACUUUCAGCGGGGAGGAAGGGAGUAAAGUUAAUACCUUUGCUCAUUGACGUUACCCGCAGAAGAAGCACCGGCUAACUCCGUGCCAGCAGCCGCGGUAAUACGGAGGGUGCAAGCGUUAAUCGGAAUUACUGGGCGUAAAGCGCACGCAGGCGGUUUGUUAAGUCAGAUGUGAAAUCCCCGGGCUCAACCUGGGAACUGCAUCUGAUACUGGCAAGCUUGAGUCUCGUAGAGGGGGGUAGAAUUCCAGGUGUAGCGGUGAAAUGCGUAGAGAUCUGGAGGAAUACCGGUGGCGAAGGCGGCCCCCUGGACGAAGACUGACGCUCAGGUGCGAAAGCGUGGGGAGCAAACAGGAUUAGAUACCCUGGUAGUCCACGCCGUAAACGAUGUCGACUUGGAGGUUGUGCCCUUGAGGCGUGGCUUCCGGAGCUAACGCGUUAAGUCGACCGCCUGGGGAGUACGGCCGCAAGGUUAAAACUCAAAUGAAUUGACGGGGGCCCGCACAAGCGGUGGAGCAUGUGGUUUAAUUCGAUGCAACGCGAAGAACCUUACCUGGUCUUGACAUCCACAGAACUUUCCAGAGAUGGAUUGGUGCCUUCGGGAACUGUGAGACAGGUGCUGCAUGGCUGUCGUCAGCUCGUGUUGUGAAAUGUUGGGUUAAGUCCCGCAACGAGCGCAACCCUUAUCCUUUGUUGCCAGCGGUCCGGCCGGGAACUCAAAGGAGACUGCCAGUGAUAAACUGGAGGAAGGUGGGGAUGACGUCAAGUCAUCAUGGCCCUUACGACCAGGGCUACACACGUGCUACAAUGGCGCAUACAAAGAGAAGCGACCUCGCGAGAGCAAGCGGACCUCAUAAAGUGCGUCGUAGUCCGGAUUGGAGUCUGCAACUCGACUCCAUGAAGUCGGAAUCGCUAGUAAUCGUGGAUCAGAAUGCCACGGUGAAUACGUUCCCGGGCCUUGUACACACCGCCCGUCACACCAUGGGAGUGGGUUGCAAAAGAAGUAGGUAGCUUAACCUUCGGGAGGGCGCUUACCACUUUGUGAUUCAUGACUGGGGUGAAGUCGUAACAAGGUAACCGUAGGGGAACCUGCGGUUG